rnacentral:lncRNA from 12 species
GGAACAUGUCAGUCGCGGGGUCUCGAAUCGAGUUCGUGCUGGGGCUGGGGCGGCGCUGCCAGCCUCACUCGCGGGGAUCUCGAAUGGGGGUCGGUGCGCGCUGCCCCUCCCGCGCCGCUCCCUUCCUCCCCCUGAGGGUCGGUGCCCGUCCCGUUGGAAAUGGGGAACAUUCCUUUUAUCGGGAACAUUCCUUUUAUCGGGAACAUUCCUUUUAUCGGGGUCUAUCGGUCGCGCUCCCCCGACCGUCGGCACUUGCAGGUCUCCUCGUCGUUGCUGAAUUAGGGGAAAGGUGAAGGUCGCCGGCUCAGCCGCGUCCGUCCGGUGUCCCUCCAAUGCCCCUCCGGUGUCCCCCGGUGGGGGUGGCCACCUGCCUCAAGUGUCACGGUGACAGCGGGAGCGGCGGGGGCAACUGUGUCCGAGGGCAGGGGAUCUAAUGGAUGGCAUUCCUGGCACCGAGAUUUGGGGUUCAUUGGGGACAGAGCGGGUGGAAGGCACGAGGAGCUGGGUCUGAACGUGGAGUGGAUGAUGGACUGGGCAGGUGCUUGCCCAAAUCUUACACAGAAUCCCAGACUGGUUUGGGUGGGAAGUGACCUCAGAGACCACCAGUCCCACCCCACUGCCAACUUGGAGCAACUGGGCCAGGUGGCUCCAAGUCUGAUCCCACCUGACUGGGAACCCUCCAGUGCCUCAUCCCUGUGGGAGAACUUUGGUCUCUUGUCACUCUGUGCUUCCCCUGGGGAGAUCUCCC